rnacentral:rRNA from 1 species
CCUACGGUGGCUGCAGUGGGGAAUAUUGGACAAUGGGCGAAAGCCUGAUCCAGCCAUGCCGCGUGUGUGAAGAAGGCCUUCGGGUUGUAAAGCACUUUCAGUGGGGAAGAAAGCCUUGGGGCUAAUACCCUCGAGGAAGGACAUCACCCACAGAAGAAGCACCGGCUAACUCCGUGCCAGCAGCCGCGGUAAUACGGGAGGGUGCGAGCGUUAAUCGGAAUUACUGGGCGUAAAGCGCGCGUAGGCGGUCUGAUAAGCCGGUUGUGAAAGCCCCGGGCUCAACCUGGGAACGGCAUCCGGAACUGUCAGGCUAGAGUGCAGGAGAGGAAGGUAGAAUUCCCGGUGUAGCGGUGAAAUGCGUAGAGAUCGGGAGGAAUACCAGUGGCGAAGGCGGCCUUCUGGACUGACACUGACGCUGAGGUGCGAAAGCGUGGGUAGCAAACAGGAUUAGAUACCCCAGUAGUC